rnacentral:rRNA from 1 species
UACGUAGGUGACAAGCGUUGUCCGGAUUUACUGGGCGUAAAGAGCGCGCAGGCGGUCGUUCAAGUCGAGUGUGAAAGCCCCCGGCUCAACUGGGGAGGGUCAUUCGAUACUGAUCGACUCGAAGGCAGGAGAGGGUAGUGGAAUUCCCGGUGUAGUGGUGAAAUGCGUAGAUAUCGGGAGGAACACCAGUGGCGAAGGCGGUUCUCUGGGCAUUACCUGACGCUGAGGAGCGAAAGUGUGGGGAGCGAACAGG